AACGUAGGAGGCGAGCGUUAUCCGGAUUUACUGGGCGUAAAGCGCGCGCAGGCGGCUUGGUAAGUUGGACGUGAAAGCUCCUGGCUUAACUGGGAGAGGCCGUUCGAAACUACCAGGCUUGAGGUUGGGAGAGGGGUGCGGAAUUCCCGGUGUAGUGGUGGAAUGCGUAGAUAUCGGGAGGAACACCAGUGGCGAAGGCGGCACCCUGGCCCACACCUGACGCUGAGGUGCGAAAGCGUGGGGAG
rnacentral:rRNA from 1 species